rnacentral:rRNA from 1 species
AUUGAACGCUGGCGGCAGGCUUAACACAUGCAAGUCGAACGGUAACGGGAAGGAAGCUUGCUUUCUUUGCUGACGAGUGGCGGACGGGUGAGUAAUGCUUGGGAAUCUGUUUUAUGGAGGGGGAUAACUACGGGAAACUGUAGCUAAUACCGCGUAAUAUCGAGAGAUUAAAGUGUGGGACCGCAAGGCCACAUGCCAUGAAGUGAGCCCAAGUGGGAUUAGGUAGUUGGUGGGGUAAAGGCCUACCAAGCCGUCGAUCUCUAGCUGGUCUGAGAGGAUGACCAGCCACACUGGGACUGAGACACGGCCCAGACUCCUACGGGAGGCAGCAGUGGGGAAUAUUGCACAAUGGGCGCAAGCCUGAUGCAGCCAUGCCGCGUGAAUGAAGAAGGCCUUCGGGUUGUAAAGUUCUUUCGGUGGUGAGGAAGGUUGGCGAGUUAAUAGCUCGUUGAUUUGACGUUAGCCACAGAAGAAGCACCGGCUAACUCCGUGCCAGCAGCCGCGGUAAUACGGAGGGUGCGAGCGUUAAUCGGAAUAACUGGGCGUAAAGGGCACGCAGGCGGAUACUUAAGUGAGGUGUGAAAGCCCUGGGCUUAACCUAGGAAUUGCAUUUCAUACUGGGUAUCUAGAGUAUUUUAGGGAGGGGUAGAAUUCCACGUGUAGCGGUGAAAUGCGUAGAGAUGUGGAGGAAUACCGAAGGCGAAGGCAGCCCCUUGGGGGAAUACUGACGCUCAUGUGCGAAAGCGUGGGGAGCAAACAGG